CCUACGGGUGGCAGCAGUGGGGAAUAUUGGGCAAUGGGCGCAAGCCUGACCCAGCAACGCCGCGUGAAGGCAGAAGGCUUUCGGGUUGUAAACUUCUUUUCUGAGGGACGAAGAAAGUGACGGUACCUCAGGAAUAAGCCACGGCUAACUACGUGCCAGCAGCCGCGGUAAUACGUAGGUGGCAAGCGUUAUCCGAAUUUAUUGGGUGUAAAGGGCGUGUAGGCGGGAAAGCAAGUCAGAUGUGAAAACUCAGGGCUCAACCCUGAGCCUGCAUUUGAAACUGGCAAACUGGAGUGUGUGAGAGGAUAGUGGAAUUCAAGGUGUAGGAGUGAAAUCCGGAGAUAUCUGGAGGAACAUCAGUGGCGAAGGCGACUAUCUGGCACAUAACUGACGCUGAGGAGCGAAAGCGUGGGUAGCAAACAGGAUUAGAUACCCUAGUAGUC
rnacentral:rRNA from 1 species